GACGAACGCUGGCGGCGUGCCUAAUACAUGCAAGUAGAACGCUGAAGAGAGGAGCUUGCUCUUCUUGGAUGAGUUGCGAACGGGUGAGUAACGCGUAGGUAACCUGCCUUGUAGCGGGGGAUAACUAUUGGAAACGAUAGCUAAUACCGCAUAACAAUGGAUGACACAUGCCAUUUAUUUGAAAGGGGCAACUGCUCCACUACAAGAUGGACCUGCGUUGUAUUAGCUAGUAGGUGAGGUAAUGGCUCACCUAGGCGACGAUACAUAGCCGACCUGAGAGGGUGAUCGGCCACACUGGGACUGAGACACGGCCCAGACUCCUACGGGAGGCAGCAGUAGGGAAUCUUCGGCAAUGGGGGCAACCCUGACCGAGCAACGCCGCGUGAGUGAAGAAGGUUUUCGGAUCGUAAAGCUCUGUUGUAAGUCAAGAACGGGUGUGAGAGUGGAAAGUUCACACUGUGACGGUAGCUUACCAGAAAGGGACGGCUAACUACGUG
rnacentral:rRNA from 1 species